GAUGAACGCUGGCGGCGUGCCUAAUACAUGCAAGUCGAGCGAAUGGAUUAAGAGCUUGCUCUUAUGAAGUUAGCGGCGGACGGGUGAGUAACACGUGGGUAACCUGCCCAUAAGACUGGGAUAACUCCGGGAAACCGGGGCUAAUACCGGAUAACAUUUUGAACCGCAUGGUUCGAAAUUGAAAGGCGGCUGCGGCUGUCACUUAUGGAUGGACCCGCGUCGCAUUAGCUAGUUGGUGGGGUAACGGCUCAUCAAGGCAACGAUGCGUAGCCGACCUGAGAGGGUGAUCGGCCACACUGGGACUGAGACACGGCCCAGACUCCUACGGGAGGCAGCAGUAGGGAAUCUUCCGCAAUGGACGAAAGUCUGACGGAGCAACGCCGCGUGAGUGAUGAAGGCUUUCGGGUCGUAAAACUCUGUUGUUAGGGAAGAACAAGUGCUAGUUGAAUAAGCUGGCACCUUGACGGUACCUAACCAGAAAGCCACGGCUAACUACGUGCCAGCCGCCGCGGUAA
rnacentral:rRNA from 1 species